rnacentral:rRNA from 1 species
GUGGGUAAUCUACCUCCGAAUUGGGGAUGACAUUGCGAACAGAUGCUAAUACCGGAUAAUAUCUUAAAAGCUUCGGCUUUAAAGAUCAAAGGUGGCCUCUACAUGUAAGCUUCUGUUUGGAGAUGAGCCCGCGUACCAUUAGCUUGUUGGUAGGGUAAUGGCCUACCAAGGCUACGAUGGUUAGCUGGUCUGAGAGGAUGAUCAGCCACACUGGAACUGACACACGGUCCAGACUCCUACGGGAGGCAGCAGUGAGGAAUUUUGCGCAAUGGGGGAAACCCUGACGCAGCAACCCGCGUGAGUGAUGAAGGCUUUCGGGUCGUAAAGCUCUGUCAAGUGAGAAGAACCCACAUGGUGAUAAUACCACUAUGUGCUGACGGUAUCACUAAAGGAAGCACCGGCUAACUCCGUGCCAGCAGCCGCGGUAAUACGGGGGGUGCAAGCGUUAUUCGGAAUUACUGGGCGUAAAGGGCGCGCAGGGGUCUCUUAAGUCAGAUGUGAAAGCCCGGGGCUCAACCCCGAAGUGCAUUUGAAACUAAGGGACUUGAGUAUGGGAGAGGGAAGUGGAAUUCCUGGUGUAGCGGUGAAAUGCGUAGAUAUCAGGAGGAACACCGGUGGCGAAGGGACUUCCUGGACCAAUACUGACGCUGAGGCGCGAAGCGUGGGGAGCAAACAGGAUUAGAUACCCUGGUAGUCCACGCAGUAAACGGUGAACACUAGGUGUAGCGGGUAUUGACCCCCGCUGUGCCGCAGUUAACGCAUUAAGUGUUCCGCCUGGGAAGUACG